AUGGCCGCCCCUGCCGCUGACUUUGAAGCCCCGCCGGCUCGCCGUCCUCGUCGGAUCCAAGCUUUUCCCCACUCUCUCUGGCUGGUUGGAGCAAAAAUGGUUGAUGGUUCCAGCAAAAAGACCAAUGCAGCAAAGACCCAUGAUAGCCGGUGUCCGUCGUCGUCCCAAUAUCAUGGGUCUUUGCUAUUUCCAGCAAAACCCCCGUUCCAGCACAAACUCAUCGCCACCAUGGUUGAUUGCAGCUCGGCCGUGGUGACUAACGAACCAUGGUUGCGGCGGCCAUGGAGGCAUCUAGUUGCUGGCGGACAAGGCGACGAGCACACCCCUGGCUGCAUGCGCCCAUGGAGAGGGUCCAUCCGGUGCCUGCGAUCCACAAAGAACUUAAACGAGGCCUGUUGGGCGACGACGACAAGAUGCUCUGUUGCUGGGGCCGUAUUCCCGUCGAGGCCGCGAGGGGAUGCCCUUUCUCUUGCUCGGCCCAGAAGCCUGCCGCCAACGGCCCGAGCUGCUCCUCCCUCCUCCUCCUCCUCUCCGUCGGUUCUCCCCUCGCUCCCCAAAUUGCCCGGCGGAUCGUCGGAGGGUUCGACACACAGAGGCCCCGCUCCCCCUCCUCGCCACUUCGGCGCUGCCGGUUCCAGCGCUGGCCUCGCCGCUGCCUCCCCUUUCUCUCCCGCGCGCAGCCUCCAGGUACCCCGGUGGACCACUCCCAACUGGCUAGCUCUCGGUGCUAGCGUGCGCGCCGCCGCGGCUUCUGACUGUGUCCCAGAGGGGUGGGCGAAGCCGAUGCUCGCGCCGGGAGAUCCAAUGCCGCCAAGAUCGACUUCGAAGCGAACAUCGACCAGGUCCAGGUGCGGAUUAGCAGUUUCACAGUGUCAAAAUGGGGAGUGGUUCAGUCAAGCGGACAUUGGGGUUCUGAAUUUGGUGCGUCUGCUGUUGCAGAGGACAGACUUGGCUGAUGAGCAGCACAAGGGUGACAUUUGUGCAAUGUACUUCCAGGCCAUCACUGUGUCUCUUAUUAGUCAAAUUAACCUUGGCGGGCAGAUGGCAAUCAUAUAUGAAUCUGCACCGAGCUUUAAUUUACUUGUAACCAGGCAAUCUUUCAGUCAUGACUACUACAAUACAGCUUUGUCCGAGCACAUCAUCUCUACAUAUGGAGACAUGUCUCUUUCUCAAGCUCUCGACGACAUUCCAACAUAG
rnacentral:rRNA from 1 species